rnacentral:lncRNA from 1 species
GGAAAUCAAAGGACCAGCUGCCCGCACAAGCCGUCGGGAGAAGCUGUUUCUCCCCCCCCCCAUUCCUUUUCCUUCCAGAAGAAGCUUAACCCGGAUCCUUUAAUAACGAGCAGUUACGAUCACGUGUAGCGCGAUCUCAGGCACGUCUACUCUGAAGGAAAGCUCCACUGAAUUCAAUGGGGGUUGCUCCCAGGCCACGGAGUGACUUUGUGGGACGCAGCUCUGUGUGGUUCCCGAAGGAGUGACGGAGAUCCAUUGACACCCAGCCAGCGAAACUGCGCCCUGGGUAGUUAUGCAAGAGGAACACAAGAACAUGGCCUCAUUAGAAUUUCCUAAUGUGACAAUAAAGCUAGAAGAUGAAGAAGAGGUACCAUGGCUCCCAAAGAACCAGGGAUCAGAGGAAAAUGAGAACUUUCCAGGUGACCGCUCUGGUGAGAGAUUUGCACUGCAGAUGCAUACAAAACUACUGAAAAUUACCUGUUUCUGUUCACCCACGUGGCACUUCUACACUUUCUAGUGGCUCUGAAUAUUUUCAGGGUCAGGUUGAUGUACUUUGAAACCUUAAGGAGCUUUAUCAGGGCUACUGAGGUACUGAGCCCUGUUGCCCUUGAUUCACAUCGUAUCU